CGGCAGGGUGUGCUGCCGCCCCAGCGAAGGGACGCGCGAGAAAAUCCCCGGAGCUGCCCCGGAGCAGCCUCACGCGAGCUCGGCUGCAGCUCCACGCCCGCGUCGCGCUCCCCGAACGCCGCGCUCGAAGCUCACCGCCCCGCGCCGCGUCCCCCGGCUGCGCAGCGUCCCGUGGCCACCGGAGCCUGGCGAGAAGCCGUGCCAAAGCCCUCUGCCCUCAGGAAGAGCCUCCCACCACCGGGCUUUAAGCUCCCAGCCAUCCCGAGCCAUUCCACGAUCCUAAGAAAGUUCCACACUACUGGGGGCUGCAGCAGCGGUGAGGCUGGGUGUUCAUCAGUAGGGCCCUCCCACUCCCAUCAAUGUCCUUCUCUGUCGCCGAGCGACUUGUCCGAGUCCCCUGGAGAGCACCAUCACCUCCCUGGCAGUAACAGAGCAAACUAUGAGGAUUCCCACCGCCAGCAACAUCAGGAGACGAAGGCCCUCCUUGACGAGGCCACUCAGCCACCCCGCGACCUUGAGCUAAUAACAGAAUAUCUAUGGCAGUGCGAUUCUGUAGCAAGGCAUGCCGUAAGCUGUUCUGGUCAAGCAGAAGCUGUUUGAGAAAGGAGAGUGCAACCCUUGCAGCAAGCGAGAAAAGCUCCGUGGGAUGCUCACAUUCAGGGGUUAGCAGAGCACGCUUCAUGCGAUCAGAGCGGUUAGAGAGUAAUGUUUCAAAGCUGCUCAAAGGUAGGAGCAAACAGAGUUGAUUUUCCUAAGGAACGGGGUCCACCUGUCUCCUGGCUGGGGAUGCCCUGCCACGCUCUGUCUCCACAGACCAAAAAGAUGUCCGGAGGCAAUGCCUUCGCAGAGCCAUUGCACCAUAUAGUCGAGUUGUUACCAUUUGCAGCUGCGCCAUAGGCAGCCAAACCUGUCUUCUUGAUGUAUUGGUGCCACAGUAAUCACAAGCAUCCCGUAAGUAAAUUUGCCACGGCUAGAUACAGUAGUGCAAGAGGUCCAAUUCAGCCCUUUAUAAGGAUUUAGGCCCUGCUGGGUAUUACUGAAUACAAAGCAGGUCUGGGUCCAAUUCUGUGACGUGUUCCCUAUCGCCUGCGACCCCAUAAGUUACGGUUCCUGGGGAUCCCAAGGCAGCGAGACAUUUCAUCCAGCAAUCAGUUCAGUGGAGCAUCCCAGACUGUGUAGAAGCCGCUGUAGAGCCGGGGCAGAGAGCUGUUGGCAUCGAUGAGGCACAGCGGGGUCUGCUGAGGCCCCCCCCCCCCCCCAACAGGCUGCCCCACGCCAGCUUCUGCAGCUCGAUGGGCAUCACGGUGUAGGGCAGUGCUUCUCAGUGUAGCCCUGGAAGCCCUGCACUGCCAUGGAGAGCACCGGGUGGAGGCGGCUGUGGCGCGGUCCGGGCUCGGGCCAGGGGAGGCUGCGGGUGGCCGUACAGCGGGGGCUCGUAUGGCCUUCAAGGUGUUGGCAGCAGCACGCCACACCGGUCCCAGAGGCUUCAGCAACUCCUCGUCCUUCCCCCCAGAUAUCACACAGUCCCACGUAUGAUCUCCUAUAUCACGCCAUUCUGAAGCACCGAACAUCAGUGCCACCUCCAUGAGGUAUUCAAGUCAUCGAGCCCAUUUUACCAGCUCCGACGGGCCUUUAGGAGACACUUGCUCCCCUUUCUUAGAGAGGAUAGUUAGGAGCGGUUUCUCUGUAGCUUCCCACUCUAUCGUGGGGGCAGAGGGCAGGGAGGGACCCCGCUUCCAGCUACCGUGACACUUACAGCACUGUUGCUUGUCCGGUGCCAUCCAUCUGCGACCGCUGCCUCGUCUCCCUCUUACUCCAAGGUCCUUUUCUGAUCGUUCUUACUCCAAAGUCCCCGUUUGGGCACCACUUGUCACCGAGUGACUGUUCAGAGUCCUCUGGAGAGCAAUAUUCAGCCAAGGCGCGGCGUGGACGAGGCCACACACCGUUGUGGUUUCUAGCAGCCAAGCCGUGUAAUAACUGCACCCAGCCGCUUAUAUAGAGCGGUACAAAUAACAUGCUAAGUACACAAGGCACGCUUCUCAUGACUGGCAGUUGCUUGCAGCUUGUCUCACGGCACCCGGCACAGCGGUCUCCAUCACAGCUCCGCAUUCCUUUUGCCUACUCCCGUCGUUGUUCUGUGUGAGACAGUGAUCCAUAGCAGCUGUUUUGCUUGCAGUGACCCAGGGGGAGAUAAACAUCACCUCCCUGGGUCAGCUGUCCAUCCACACUUCCCCAGUCCAGGAGCAGAGAAGAGGAGGUUCCGUGACCUCAGUCCCUCCAGCAGAGCCGCCCCAGGCGCUGCAGCAGCUCGGUGGCCCUGUGCUGCACUCUCCCCAGUGUGUCCCGGGCUCUCCUGUGUGGGGGGCCCAGAGCUGCACCCAGUGCUGUCUGUGCAGCCGCACCAUUGCUGAGCAGAGGGCAGAUCCCACUCGUUCCACUGCUGGCAGUGCCAUCCCAGCGCAGCCCGGACACCCUCAGCCUUUGCCCAAAGGGCACAACUGCUCCCGUUCCCCUCAGAGCACAGCCGCACUCAGGGCCCAUCCGCAAAGCUGCUCCCAGCUGUGCCCCAGCAGCCCUGGGUCCAGAGAGGAGGAGGAGUGGGGCCGUCGGAUGGGGCUGUGAUGUACAGGGAACAAUGAGGAUGCACAAGAGCUCUCCUGUAUGCAGUGGAAACAAACAGCUCCUUCUCUCCAUGCCAGCUCUGCACCUCCUCCUGUGACACUCCACAUGUGGGGCUCUGGCAGCUCUCCCUCAGCUCUUCUUCCUCAGCACAGCCCCGAGCAGGG
ensembl:lncRNA